CUUCCAUGAAAUCAUAGACAUUUCAUUAUUUCACCAAUAUAUACCAUGCUAUUUAUUUUGUUCCAUUCUAUUUGGGUUUAGAGUUUAUAUUUGGGUUUAGGGUUUAGUGAAUAUAGUUUAGGGUUUAGUAUUUAAAAGGUGAGGGGGUAUGGCUGGGGUCAGCAUUAACUUUAAUUUCUUCCAUGAAAUCAUAGAUAUUUCCAAAUUUCACCAAUAUAUACCAUGAUAUUUAUUUUGUUCAUUUCUAUUUAGGUUUAUGGUUUAUAUUUUUGGUUUAGGGAUUAGUGAUUAGGGUGUAGGAUUUAGUGAAUAUGGUUUAGGGUUUAGCAUUUAGAAGGUGAAGGGGUAUGGUUGGGGUCAGCAUCAACUUCUUCCAUGAAAUCAUAGACAUUUCAUAGUUUCACCAAUAUAUACCAUGAUAUUUAUUGUGUUCCAUUCUAUUUAGGUUUAUGACUUAUAUUUGGAUUUAGGGUUUGUAUUUGAAUUUAGGUUUUAUUAAUUAGGAUUUAGGGUUUAGCAUUAAAGAUUGGGGUGGGGAUGGGAUAAUGUUUGGUAUAUAGGGGUGGGAGUUGGGGUAAUGUUUAGUAUUAGAGUAUAUGAGUGAGGUUAGAGAUAUGUAUUAUUUCGGCGAAGUGGAAUAGAACACUCGUGGUUUUUUAUAUUCUCUCAGAUGUAAACUAAAUAUUAGUCAUGCCUCUAUUUGUCUACAUCAUCUAACCUCCUAUCCUUCACCUGCUACUUGUACAACCAAAGGUUAAAACCAGCUCAUUUGAUGCAUAAUUGUUAGUUACUUAAUUAUAUCAAAAUCAAUAACAUGCAUUUAAUUUCUUCUCCAAACAUAGCUAUUUCGCAAAUUCUCCCUAAAAAUUAAGUGC
rnacentral:lncRNA from 1 species